GGCAGGCCCAGUCUAAUCGCAUGAGCCCUUGAAAGCAGAGAACUUUCUCCAACUGGAAGCAGAGGAGAGCGACAGCAGAUGGAGUCAGAGAGGUUCCAAGAACGAGAAGGAUUCGCUGUGCCUUUCCCAUCUCUAAGAUGCACAGACUGUGUGCAAGGACCAGAGAGAGGCCUCCUGGAGCUCAGGGAGGCCCCAGCUGACAGCCACAAGGAAACGGGGACCUCAGCCUUACAACCACGGGGAACUGGGUGCUGCAAAUGGCCUGGAAGAGCUUGACAGGGAAUUUUCCCCUGAGCCUCCCAGUGAGAGCCCAGCUGGUCGACAUCUUGAUUUCAGCCCUUGAGACCAGAGACAGAGAAAUCAAUGGAGCCGACCCAGCCUUCUGACCACAGACCUGUGAGAUGAUCACUGGUGGGCCCAUCUCUCCUUCUGCUGAUCUCUCAAAGGCCCCAGGGCAUCACUCAAGUCCAGCCUCUAUGGCGCUCUGGGCCCCGUUACCUGUGUCUCUUCACCAAGACCUCCCCUGCCGCCUUCUCCUCCAGCUCGAUGGUCUUCUCUGUUUGUGGCGCUCACUGGGCAUGCCCCUCUCCCAGGGCCCCUUCCCCGGAAUGCUCUUAUCUGGCAUCACUUCUUCCUUCAUCUCUUCAGGGACAUUGUUCAAAAGUCACUUCUCAGUAAGACUUGCCAAGGCACCCCCACCGCCCCUGCCUUAUCUCUGGGGACAUCUCGCCUCUGUGCAUGGGCUCCCACCGGGUCUCCAUUCUCCUCCACCCACUUCCGUCUUCCCAACCAGGAAUCCAUGGAAGAUGGUGGGAUCCCAUGGUCCCAGCUACAGGAUGUGGGGCAAAGAAAUGAAAGCAGGCCCUUCCUCUCCCUUCCAGAAUGAACCGCUCGCUCCCUUUCCUUCCUGGCUUACUGACUUUCACAAACAUUCAGGAAUUCGGGAAUGGAAGGAAUCAGAUGUAAGUCCGUCUGGAGGUGGGAGACCAGUGCUACCGUGUUAUUCUCUGGGGGUUCGGAAUGACCAAGGCCAGUGCAGGCUGACUCAUGAAAGCUACUUUAACAAAGUCAGCGAUCAGAGCAGCUGUGGAGAACCUGCAAAUAAAUCAAGGCUCAGGGAAGCCUGCUGCACUGAAAACCGCAGGAAGAAAGAGCAGAGAUUUGAGCGAUGGUUAUCCAUAAGACUUUCUCCCAGAACCUAAUGUUCCGGAAAAAUCUUCCUAAUUAGUCAUUAAUUGGUCCAUUAUCAGCACCACGUGCCAAGGAUUAAGUGGGUGAUUCCCACCGUUUCUAGAGAGCAAGGUGCUGCAUCUGAUCCGCCAGGCAGGGCGCUCCUUUGCUCGUGUAACGGCUGCAGCCAGCUCCCGCCAGCUCUGCAGAAACAACGCUGGUCCCCAUCUUUGAAGCAGAGUCCUGAGCCCUUCCCCCACCACGCGGAGCAACAUUUCUAUCCUUCAGGCUGACUUUCAUUUCCCGCUUGUUGGGUAGACAGUUUUUUGAGAAUGGAUUUUUCCUCCCAAAGAACGCUUUGUUGUGUAAGUCUCAUUCUCCUGCUCAAGGCCUUCCUGUUUCCGACCUCUUGGUCAUUCAAGGAGACGGCAGGGUCUGGAUAUCCAUGCACCCCCUGCAGCAUCUCCAGGGUGUUCUUGGGUCUGAGUUCCAGUUCUUUACCUUGCACCUAUUGACUCUGUCUGUAGAGGUGUCCUCAUCCACCCACUCUGGAUCAACUGGAACCACAGAAAUAGAGACACUGAGGGCAGGGAGAGAUGCUCGGCACUGGCUCCAUGCCUCUCUGCCUCCUCCUCCCGAGCUCAGCCGCUCCCUGGGAGAAGAGCAGGAUGCGAGCAUGACAGGACCGCGAUGCAGAUGCACGUGGCGUCAGAUGAUGCUGCAGGGUCAGCAAAAGACUCAGCCCAUCAAAUGCUUGAGCCUGCCAGGAAGGGAGUAUCUUGGGACUCUCCUGGACACGGUCCCUCGCUCGCUUUUGUUUUUUUCCAGAUCCUCUAACUUGGGUUGUCACUUACAUAGGAGGAACUGCCCCAUCAUCCGCUGUGAGCCAGGUUUAUGGCCAAUGUUCUGCUUUUCCUUUUGAUUGAAGGGUCUGGACAGCCGUGCACCCCUUUGCAGCAUCUCUGGGGUGUUCUGCACGUGAGAGAUGUUCCAUGAAUGUCAGCAAUGUUCUCUUGAGCGACCAGGAGAUUGUUCUUUCCAGAUUGCAACAAAAGGUCCAACAGUCUGCAGGGAACACGUGGAUGACAAAGGACGCCGGUCUAGGCGAGGCCACCCUCCUUCCUCGAUGGCCACACCCUGGGCACCUUGCAGGGGGGCCACCAGGUUGCACACACUAUUCAGCCAGCCCUCCAUUUUAGCCCAAAAAUAUUUAAACAUUAAAAGUCUGAAAGUCAAAGAGCGGAUUUACAUGCUCUACCAGUUAGGAUCAGGUUGGUGCCAGAGACACCAAAUAACCGUGGGGUAAAUGGCAAGAUAGGGGCUUCCUUCUCCUGUAAAGUCUGGCGGAAGCAAUCUGGCUUCGCUCUGUCAAGCCCUAGGGCCUGGCUCCUUCUGUCCUUCCACUUGUCCACUCCCACUGUAAGGUCCUUAUCUCAUGGUCCAUGAUGGUGCCCCAACCAUCACAUCUGCGUUCCAAGCAGCAGGAAAGCUCCAGGCAUUACGCAGGACUCCCUGGGCAGAACCAGUCACACAUCUUCACCUUGUGGUGAGGGUUGCAGGGUCACGGAGUCCUUCUAGGCAGCCAUGUGUCCAGCGAAAAAUUCUAUUCUUUGGAAAGAGAUUUUGGGGAAACACAGCAAACUUGGUCUCAGGUAUGAUGCGGGCAAGUGGUGGUUCCGUUUCCAGAAAACAAAAACACCUCCCAUUGUUGUUUCUCUGGACAUUUCCCCGAGUGGGUGCAGGCAGUGCAGGAGGAAGGUGAGAACCAGCGCAACAGCAGGUCCAGGUGGAGGCAUAGCUGCUGGCGCCACAUCUGAGCAUCUCCCUCCAUGGAGGCCAGUGCUUCUCCCCAAAUCUCAGGCGAGGCUGAGACAGGUGAUGAGCAGCCACACCUCUCUUCAGGGACCCACUGGAUGCCUCCAGCCUGGCUCAACCAGACGGGUCUUCCUCCUGCCAGCCCCCCAGCACAAGCCCUGUGGGGCCUCUUCACCAGUCCCUCCACUCAACAAGGCCACUGCUGGCCCCUACCCUAAUGCAGAGUUUCCCAUCAACACUAGGGGCUGGAUACAUCUUUGCUCUGGGGGGGUGUCCUGGGCAUCGUGGGAUAUUUAGCACAUCCCUCCACCUACUGGACGUCUGUGGCACCCUCAGCUGUGACAACCAAAAAUGUCUCCAA
rnacentral:lncRNA from 1 species